GACGACUUAAACUGUGCCUGUCAAGCAUUAUGCUGCAGCUUCAUCAAAGGAGAAACAACAGAGAGAAGCUCACCACAAAGUCUCUGCCACGACAGAGCACCUCAGCAGGAACACCGCUGUGAGCACUGAAGUUAGAUCAAAGAUCCCUGGUCCUACCUCUUGACAACCCAGUUCCCCUGAACCAGCAGCGCCACCUGUUGGAUGCAGCGCAGCACUGAGGUCGAGUCUGUGCCAGAGGCGAGCAGGCCCAUCAAAUUAGCAAAUGGCAUUACCUUCACUGGAGAGGAGAGACAGUGAAAGUCUUGACUUGCUCUCCGAGUGGCAGAGUGCGGAGCUGGGCCAUAGAGAGCACAUUACUGGGACCCACAGGCUUCACCCUGACACAGAGAGGAAAGCGAGUUAAUGACACAAUUCCCGGACAGUCACUGAGUUUA